rnacentral:snRNA from 1 species
AUUGCUUCUCGGCCUUUUGGCUAAGAUCAAGUGUAGAAUUAUCUUCCAGGUGCUUUCCAAAUGUUUUAAAGUUUGUGCAUUUUUAAAGUUAGUUUUUAAGGGCCAGCGGUAUAUAGCUUAGUGUCAUGGCCCCUGCCUG